GAUGAACGCUGGCGGCGUGCCUAAUACAUGCAAGUCGAGCGAACAGACGAGGAGCUUGCUCCUCUGACGUUAGCGGCGGACGGGUGAGUAACACGUGGAUAACCUACCUAUAAGACUGGGAUAACUUCGGGAAACCGGAGCUAAUACCGGAUAAUAUAUUGAACCGCAUGGUUCAAUAGUGAAAGACGGUUUUGCUGUCACUAAUAGAUGGAUCCGCGCCGCAUGAGCUAGUUGGUAAGGUAACGGCUUACCAAGGCAACGAUGCGUAGCCGACCUGAGAGGGGGAUCGGCCACACUGGAACUGAGACACGGUCCAGACUCCUACGGGAGGCAGCAGUAGGGAAUUUUCCGCAAUGGGCGAGAGCCUGACGGAGCAACGCCGCGUGAGUGAUGAAGGUCUUCGGAUCGUAAAACUCUGUUAUUAGGGAAGAACAAAUGUGUAAGUAACUAUGCACGUCUUGACGGUACCUAAUCAGAAAGCCACGGCUAACUACGUG
rnacentral:rRNA from 1 species